CUUUGAUUCUGUGAGUAUGGCGACUGAAAACUCUGUGGUAUCUCUUCGUGAAACACCUUUCAAUCGACGAUCAGAUGUCGAUAAGAAGAGACUGAAAGACAUGGGACCCGAACGUCCGGAUUUAAAAAUGCAGCAGCAGAGCAUCGACCGCGGGAGGACGUACACCCGUAGCUUCUCCUCAAGCCUGUAUGCUAAGUGCUAACCGGAGCUGGUUAGCUGGUUGUUCAUUGAGUGAUGCGUUUUUUUUGUUCCCCCUGCCUGUUGUUCUAAAGUCCUGGGACUGAAACAAUCAGGACUGCAACGGGGAUGAGGGAUCUAAAGCACUUCAACGAUAAAUGUAAGAAGCACGAAUCUUGCCGCUGCCAUCUAACUAACAGCCUGAAGCUAAGCCUCUUUGGAAGACUGAGUAUAGCAGAGCAGCUCGACUAAGGGUACCGAAUUGGCAUUCGAAAACACAAUGAACGGGUUCAACUACUGAAGUAAAUAUCAAAAGAUGCUUCCGAUCUGCACAAUGUCUCAAUGGUUCCCUGAACACAGAAAAUCUAAGGGUAAUAGAAAUUCUACAAAGCUGAACAUGAAAGCAUGGUUUAUCUUUCAGCUACAGUAAGUGACACGGCCAAUGGGAGGCAGUGUUUCAGCUGUGGCUUGACGGGCUGCUCGUGAAGGCUUCAAUGUGCUGGUGAUGAGGAUCGCUGUUUCUCUUCAACCGGUGUCUUUAUUUGUGGGAGUGUGGUGUGUGCAGUACUAUGUAUUUUGAACAAAAUGGCAAAAUAUAUUUCUACACAGUUGAAGAGCAUACCAGUCAAGGUUGAUAUAGCUGGACAGCGCACUACCGUAAAGGGCUGUGCCACCCAAAGUGUCUGCUCUGGAGCGUUUUCACAGGCGCUGGACUCGGCGCUGCUGUGAGGGGGAUCUGUACAACAGUGCCUGGAGUGCUACACACAGUGUCCUGUUCCUGCUGUGGCCCCUGGGCUCUGUUCUGCUCUUCCACUGAGCUGGCUUCAUCUCAGGGUGAUUCUUCUGCUUGGAGAUGGGCUGCUAUUUCCAACACAAACUUGUUAAUGGCUGUUAAAGCAAAUAAACAAAGAUUUGUUUUCAUUUAUGUGUCAGCAUGUGUUUGUUUUCAUUUAUGUGUUAGCAUGUGUUUCUUUUCAUUCAAACAACUACUAGAC
ensembl:lncRNA